rnacentral:misc_RNA from 1 species
GCAUAAAAUUAAAUAUUAAAUUUAAGAUGAAAAAGGAAAAGACUUUUAUAAUAUGUAACAGAGGGAAGUAAAAGAAAAGAGGGGAAGUCGCCAAAUUUCAAUUGCGUGCGCAGAGAAAAAACCUCUUGCCUUGCCUAGUUCAAUUCCGUAUCCAAAACACAGAUCUCCUUCUUGGCUGCGCCAACGCCCGCGCCCAUUUUCAAACCUAACCCAAAAACCGCGUGGCACGCGUUUUUCUUCCUAACCCUGCUUCCAUCAACCCAACGAGACUCGCUCGCAAUUUCUAGAAAUAUUUUUUGCUAACCGCCUCCUGUUUACUGUUUUACUACAGGGCUUUCGAAAGAUCGUGCCAGACAAAUG